rnacentral:rRNA from 1 species
UACGAAGGGGGCUAGCGUUGUUCGGAAUUACUGGGCGUAAAGCGUGCGCAGGCGGCUUUCCAAGUCAGUGGUGAAAGCCCGGAGCUCAACUCCGGAAAUGCCAUUGAAACUGUGAAGCUUGGGAACGAGAGAGGUGAGUGGAAUUCCCAGUGUAGAGGUGAAAUUCGUAGAUAUUGGGAAGAACACCAGUGGCGAAGGCGGCUCACUGGCUCGUAACUGACGCUCAUGCACGACAGCGUGGGGAUCAAACAGG